UACGGAGGGUGCAAACGUUGCUCGGAAUCAUUGGGCGUAAAGCGCGUGUAGGCGGCAUGGUCAGUCGGGUGUGAAAGCCCUGGGCUUAACCCAGGAAGUGCAUCCGAUACUGCCACGCUUGAGUACAGGAGAGGGUAGCGGAAUUCCCGGUGUAGAGGUGAAAUUCGUAGAUAUCGGGAGGAACACCAGUGGCGAAGGCGGCUACCUGGACUGAUACUGACGCUGAGACGCGAAAGCGUGGGGAGCAAACAGG
rnacentral:rRNA from 1 species